rnacentral:rRNA from 1 species
AGUGAACGCUGGCGGUAGGCCUAACACAUGCAAGUCGAACGGCAGCACAGUAAGAGCUUGCUCUUACGGGUGGCGAGUGGCGGACGGGUGAGGAAUACAUCGGAAUCUACUUUUUCGUGGGGGAUAACGUAGGGAAACUUACGCUAAUACCGCAUUCGACCUACGGGUGAAAGCAGGGGAUCUUCGGACCUUGCGCGAUUGAAUGAGCCGAUGUCGGAUUAGCUAGUUGGCGGGGUAAAGGCCCACCAAGGCGACGAUCCGUAGCUGGUCUGAGAGGAUGAUCAGCCACACUGGAACUGAGACACGAUCCAGACUCCUACGGGAGGCAGCAGUGGGGAAUAUUGGACAAUGGGCGCAAGCCUGAUCCAGCCAUACCGCGUGGGUGAAGAAGGCCUUCGGGUUGUAAAGCCCUUUUGUUGGGAAAGAAAAGCAGCAGGUUAAUACCCCGCUGUUCUGACGGUACCCAAAGAAUAAGCACCGGCUAACUUCGUG